rnacentral:lncRNA from 1 species
GGGUGAAGAAGAAGAGGAAGAGGAAGAUGAUGAAGACGAGGACGAUGAUUGAAGCUAUGUGCUUCAAACACUUAGUUUUUGUACUUAUUGCCAUCUGACAAGGGUAAUCUGUAGGGUGAAGAAGAAGAGGAAGAGGAAGAUGAUGAAGACGAGGACGAUGAUUGAAGCUAUGUGCUUCAAACACUUAGUUUUUGUACUUAUUGCCAUCUGACAAGGGUUGAGUGACUGUAUGUGUUUAUGCUGUAUUUUCUGUUACCUAGUUUGGGUCACGGGGUCUGCCGAAACACUUGAAUGAACUUGUAUAUGUAUAUGAUGAUACGUAAUAUAUAUAUGGCAUGUCUUUUAUCUGACUUCAGAUCUU